rnacentral:rRNA from 1 species
UAGUACGGCGAGUGAGCGGGAAGAGCUCAAGCUUAAAAUCUCCGUGCAAGUUUUGCGCGGCGAAUUGUAGUCUAUAGAGGCGUGGUCAGUGAGGGCGCUCGGGGCAAGUUCCUUGGAAGAGGACAGCAUGGAGGGUGAUACUCCCGUUCAUCCCUGGGUGGCUCUUGCGUACGACCCGUUUUCUUUGAGUCGCGUUGUUUGGGAAUGCAGCGCAAAGUAGGUGGUAAAUUCCAUCUAAAGCUAAAUAUUGGUGCGAGACCGAUAGCGAACAAGUACCGUGAGGGAAAGAUGAAAAGAACUUUGAAAAGAGAGUUAAAGAGUACCUGAAACUGCUGAAAGGGAACCGAAUCGUUUCCAGUGUCUAUAAUCCGUGGCAUAUUUCAUUGGCGAGUGUGUGCGUGCGUGUGCUUUGGCAGUGGCUUUUUUGGCUGCGCUGGGCGUGUGUGCUGUGUGUGCUUGCUGGUGCCCUGUGCUGCGGUGGGACGUCAAGGUCAGUUCGUAUGCUGCGGGAAAUGGCUGCCGAGGAGGUAGGGCUUACGCUCCGCGUUUGUCUGUUAUAUCUUGGUGGACGAGUCGUCGCGGUUGGGACUGAGGUGCCUACAACGUGCUUUUGAGUGAGUAUGGGUCUCCGUGUGCGCCGUGUGCGGAUAGCUUGCUAUGCGUGUGUGGUUGUGUGUGGAUUGAUGCGUGCUGUAACUUGUCGCCGCUUC